rnacentral:rRNA from 1 species
CCUACGGGGGGCUGCAGUGGGGAAUAUUGGACAAUGGGGGUAACCCUGAUCCAGCCAUGCCGCGUGUGUGAAGAAGGCCCUCGGGUUGUAAAGCACUUUCAGUGAGGAAGAACGCCUGGUGGUUAAUACCCAUCAGGAAAGACAUCACUCACAGAAGAAGCACCGGCUAACUCCGUGCCAGCAGCCGCGGUAAUACGGAGGGUGCGAGCGUUAAUCGGAAUUACUGGGCGUAAAGCGCGCGUAGGUGGCUUGAUAAGCCGGUUGUGAAAGCCCCGGGCUCAACCUGGGAACGGCAUCCGGAACUGUCAAGCUAGAGUGCAGGAGAGGAAGGUAGAAUUCCCGGUGUAGCGGUGAAAUGCGUAGAGAUCGGGAGGAAUACCAGUGGCGAAGGCGGCCUUCUGGACUGACACUGACACUGAGGUGCGAAAGCGUGGGUAGCAAACAGGAUUAGAUACCCUGGUAGUC